CACUGAACUAAAAACAAUAGUCUAACUAGGCCAGGACAAGGUCCCUGGCUGGACCAUAACAACCAUAAAAAAAGACACAUGGGAUAGAUGCCUUCCGAUAUAAAGGAGUCUCACCAAUCUCUGAAAGGCUGGAUCACAAUCUACAUGUUUGUAGGAUCACGGGACUGGGCCUCAAAACCUGAAAUAUAGGGGUCAAUACUCGAAAGUAUAGGUAUGUAGAACAAUCGAAAAGAUAACAUAUAUUUUUAUACAACAUAAGUGAGCAUUUCAUAAAGAAAUUUAGAAUAAGAUAAAUUAAAACACAUGUCAUAAUUUGGUUAACCUCAAAACACUUUCUUAAAAUAAUCUCUCGACCCUUUAUUUUACUUCUGAACUAGAUGGUACACCCUACAUUUCUACAAUCCCAUGAGCUAUAUGGAUUCCACCCUUGACUCAGUUGACUCAGUGGCCAAGCCCCCAAAUCCAAGUUUACCGCAAGGAUUAAGGUCCUAAAUAUUAUUCUAGUAUACUAGUGCCUCAGGGGCAAGUAUAUAUUGCCCAUAGCUAAUCAUGUCGCCCUUACACUCAAUGUCUUCUUUGGAUAACCAUCUAACUCUCUUUAAGCCUAUUUUUAGUCCAUUAAAAUCAUGCUUCAUGCUAAAAAACAUUUAGUGCUUAUUCCGUUAAGGGCAUAUCAUCACAAAGUAUCGUCCUACCCAAACUUGCAAGUCAUUCAUAUGUUAUCAUCUCAUAUCCAUAGCCCUUCUUAUUCAAAAUCACACUAAUGACCAUCAAAAAAGAUUUAUCAAAUUACAUGAGAGUUCUUAUUUCAAAAGGAGAUGAAAACUUAAGCAAAAUAAUCUCCUUUCAAGACUUUAAUAUAGGGUGGUCAUCUCUUUCAUCAAUCACAUGCAAAUUCUUUAUUAGGAGACAUGAGAAUUUUUAUAUCAAGGAAAACCCCUCUCAUUCAUUCAUAAAUCAAUAACAACCCAUAGUCGCUAGCAAAAUAUUUAAACUCAAACUUUUAACCAUCCAUGUAAACAAUCUACAACAUUAUUAAAACAAUGGGUUUCAUAACAAGAGAGGGAAUUACGUAAAUCAUGCUCUCAUAUAACUUCUCAAACUAAUAACACAUGCACGCAUGAAAACAAUUUAAGUUUAGGGAAAAACCCUCAUAGUUUAUACAAAAUUUUAUCAUAAAACGUGGUUUGAAAUGCAUGCUCUUUAAUAAUUUCAAAACCCAACUCAUGUACGAAAUUAUAUACCUUAAAAUCUUAUUUAACGAUAAAUUCAUGCCCAUGGAAUUUAUGAUAGUCCCACAUACCUUUGAAUUGAUUAAAAUGUUAAGAAAAUUGACCCUUGAAGCUUAAUUUCUAGAUGUUUUCUCUUCUUGAGCUUAAGGAAGAUGAAUUAGGGAUUUUCUAGAUGUUAAUAUGUGUUUAAGGACCUUAAUUUUCCCUAUAAGUGAUUUGGGAUGGUUAGGGGGUGUGAAAAUACCUUAAUGCCCCUAAAAUAACACCAAACAGAGCACUUACAUUGCUAUGCUUUUUCCAUGUGGCACACAACAAUUUCACAGGCCAAGUUGUGCGACGCAUGACCAUUGCACAACCCCAAGUAGGCGACGCAAGCCCAUUGCACACCCUUUCCACUGGCCUUUUGUGUUUGCCAUACGACACACGAAUUUUGCAAAGGGCCUAUUGUGAGAUGCAUACUCAUUUUUAGGCCCUUAAACACCCCCAACUCAACCCAUAAUAUCUAGACAUGGUCUACCAUCAAAAUGGGGGCCCUAAAGGUUAUUUUAAAUGCAUUAUUAGAGCAUUACAACUACGAGGUGUUACAUUAUCCCCCUGGGAUCAUUCGUCCCCGAAUGAUGACUCGAGAUACAAUAUGCAUGAUUUCAUAUAUUGCAUGGAAGGAAAGAAGUAGGUAUAAGAUCAAUACCUUCUAUGUCAUCAACCGCAGAUUCAAAGAGAGUUGGAAAUCUUGCGCGCAUGUCAUUCUCCGACUCCCAGUAGCUUUAUCAAAUUUAUGGUUCCUUCAUAAUACUUUAAUCAAAACUAUUUCCUUACUCAAAUUUCAAACCUGG
rnacentral:lncRNA from 1 species